AUGGCCAUACCAUGCUGAAUAUACCGGUUCUCGUUAGAUCACCGAAGUCAAAGCAUCAUUGGGCGCGGUCAGAACAUGGGUGGGUGACCAUCUGGGAACACCGCGAGCCGUAG